GGCUGGCCCGAUGGCAAUGCGUUAUCAGAACUUAUUAACGUUAGUGUCACUAAAGUUGGUAUACAUAUAACUGCUAAAUUUGACUGGCUUAAA
ensembl:misc_RNA Y_RNA Y RNA